CCGUGGCCUUGCAAACGCGUGUGCACUCUGGGCCACAAGCCCCAGCUGGCUCCCACUCGGACCCUCUCCCAUCCUGGUCUUUGGCUCGGCUGCCUCCGACCCUGCAGCCCUCCACGUGCGCGCACCCCACGACCGAGCACUCCACGCACGUCUUGAAGGGGCGCGUCCUGAGCCCCCUCCUCGCCGGGCAGACUGUGGAUCCCUCUCCUGCGGGCAGACUUCCUUUACUCCAGGCAGACUUUCCCCCUUCCUGUAGUUUCAGAGACACCACAGCUCUGCUCCACGUCUCACGGUGCUCCCACGGUAGCAUGGCCAAGUGUGCGCUGUGCCGGUAGGGGGACACAAUGGUGCAUCUGGCUGAGCACACCCAUCACCAUUCUCAAGGACCCAUGUUUGAGUCCCCACUCCCCACCUGCAGGAGGGAAGCUUCGUGAGCUGUAAAGGAGUCUCUGCAGGCUCGGAAGAUGUGUCAGAGUGGCUAGCAGCCAACUCAACCCUCCCGCCUUCACUUCAGUGCCGCCUUCACUCCAGUGCCCGUGGGAGCUUCCACUGGAGGACUACUGGCUUGCGGGGAGAGGAGUGGGGUGGGGUGGGGUGAGGCUUCUAGCUGUAGUGCACCCCACAACGCAAAGCACAGAAACAGGGCCUCACGGCGCGCGCAAGGCCUACCCACGCACACACAGCACAGGCGGGUGCCCACCGCGCACACCCGGCCAGGCCCGCGCGCAGCUGCCGCCUCCUUGCAGGCUCCGGCCAGCAGAGGGCGCCCGUGGGCACGGCGGGAGGGGAGGAGGAGGAGGAAGAGCACGUGGUCGCCGUCCGCCCUGCCCAGCCUGGUCCCCUUUGUCCCCCUCCCGCCCCUCCCGCGGGGCAGAAGGCCACUGUGCCUGGGAACCACCCAUCACGCGGUCUCCGAGGAUGGGCUCACGGAGGCCGGCAGCGGGGUGUAGGUGGAGGGCUAGUGGGGUCCCUGGGAGGGGGCGACAGCCACAAGGAGAGGGAACCCCCUGCCUCUUCCCUGUGUGGUCCAGUAGCUGCUUAGCACGUGGCUGUUCACUGGGAGGGCCACAGGGGUCACUGACAUGGGAGCUGGGACCCAAAGGCUAGACCUUUAGUCCUCACGUUCACCUGGCCCCCGCGGAUCCUUGGGGAGACCCUGCUUUUCCUUCUUCUGCUUCUUCCUUUUUUUUUUUUUUUUUUUUAAGAUUUCUCAGAAGGGAAUAGCUCAGCUAGUACGACGCAGGUCUUGGCGUGUCUGCGUCUUUCACUGCCAUCCCUGGUGUCCCGUGCCAGAGAGUUUCUCUGGCGCCUGGUCCCCUCCCCCCACCCCAUAUAACACAAGCAUAUGGGUUGGGGAGAUACCACAGUGGUUCUGCAAAAAGACUCCCAUCCUUAUAGCUCCAAUGUCCCAGGUUCAAAUCCCAGUGCCACCAUAACCCAGAGCUGUUCAAUCCUCUGGUCUGUAUUUCUCUCAUUAAAUAAAAUAAAUAAAUACGAUAAAAUAAAAGGCAUAUAUAUCAUGGUGCUGGAAGAGGUACAAUGGGUAGUGUUGGCCUCUCAGGCAUGAGGUCUUGAGUUCCAUCCUUGGCAUCUCCUGUGCCAG